UACGGGGGGAGCAAGCGUUGUUCGGAUUUACUGGGCGUAAAGGGCGCGUAGGCGGCUUUGCAAGUCGGGUGUGAAAUCCCCAGGCUUAACCUGGGAACUGCAUUCGAGACUGCAUUGCUAGAGUAUGGGAGAGGGAAGUGGAAUUUCCGGUGUAGCGGUGAAAUGCGUAGAUAUCGGAAGGAACAUCAGUGGCGAAAGCGACUUCCUGGACCAAUACUGACGCUCAUGUGCGAAAGCGUGGGGAGCAAACAGG
rnacentral:rRNA from 1 species